CAAACACUCCAAGCAACAAAGUCAACAAGCAUUUCCAAGGCCUAAUUAAAAGAACCCAUAUAUAUAUAUAUAUAUAUAAUUAAUUCUCCAGUCCAUUUUUACAGACAAAAAACAUGGCACCUAUCAGUACCAUCUUCUUCUUCUUCCUUGAUGCUUUCUCUUUCCUUUUCAGUCCUGCAGGAUCAUUAGCAUUCCAUAUUCUUGCUUCCCAGAACUCUCUGGCUGUAUCCAUGCCUGGAUUGGAUUUCCUUCAUCCUGAGUUUCCAACCUUUCAACUCUUGCAAAUUGGAUAUACACUUUCAUGAAGAGGCUUUUUGCUUUGGUGCUUAUGCCAUUUUACUGCAGAGUCUCUUCACAAACCAAAGAAAUUUCAGUUUCAGGCUUUCCCCCUGACACUAUUUAUCUUAUGCUGCAUAUUGUACAUUUUCAUGUUAGGUCACUAUGAGAAAGACUGUAAAAUCUUACAUUUAAUAUUAAAGGUUCAGUUUCUUAAUAUGUAAUUUAAUUUGCAAAGUAGCUAUGUAGAUGCUUGAAUUUUUAUGUAUUGAAGAUUGCUUUUUCAAUGUCUAUGUCACCAUUUUAAUCA